UCAUUUCCUAUUACUUUUCUUCACUCAUCUCCUGAAUAUACUUCACACAGGUUACUUUUACUGUGUUAGACUCUACUUUUUCAUUAUUCAUGUACUUCAUCAUUCAUCUGCUUUAUCAUUUAUCUUCUUAUCUUCCUUCAUGUAAUUCAUUAGUCAUUCAUUCAUUUUCAAUCUACUUCAGUCUUCAUGUACUUCAUCAUUCAUCUUCUGUAUCAUUAAUCUACUUAUCUUCCUUCCUGUAAUUCAUUAGUCAUUCAUUCAUCUUCAAUCUACUUCAGUCUUUCGCUACUUCAUCAUUCAUCUUCUGUAUCAUUAAUCUACUUAUCUUCCUUCCUGUAAUUCAUUAGUUAUUCAUUCAUCUUCAAUCUACUUCAGUCUUCCUCAUAAUCAUCUUCCAUCUACUUAAUCAACUUCAUAUUCUACCUUAUUAUUCAUCUUCAUUUACCGACCAUACUUAAACUGAUCUCCUUUCCCCAUGCAAUUUCCUUCAGUCAUCUCCUAGAAUCUAUUGCAAUGAUAAAAGACACGACAUAUUAGCAUCAUAUCUCUUUUACUGUAGCAUCAAAGAGGUUAUACAAGUCGUAAAAAAGCCAUUCAUGUCUGCCUAUGUAUAUGUGUGUGUGUAUGUGUGUGUGCCGGCAAACCCUCGCUCGGCACAUUACAUAUCAGCUAAGGAACUUCUCGUAGCAUCUUAACAUAACAAUCUAAACUAAUACAUAUAAAAAGUAAACCAUAAUAUGCCUGGCAGGGUUCCACCAACACUGCAUGUAUCUGUAUUUGCCACUAUAUAUAAUUAUUUCCUAAGGUUUUUUAAGUCAGUAUAGUUUCCAUAAUUUCACCAUCAGCAUAGAUUCACCAUUAUCAAGAGAGCAAGCGUACUGCCAUGAUAUAUAUAUAUAACAAGGUGAUGGUGAUGGCUGACUUCAUAUCACUAGAGGAGGAGGAGGAGGAAGAGGAGAUAAAGGAGGAGGAGGAGACAAAUUAUGGAAGAAAUCAUUGGACAAAUUAUGGAAGAAGAAGGAGGAGGAGGAGGAGGAGGAGGAAGAAGAGGGAGAAGACAGCAUUAUACAUUUUUUCUUCACACACAAUAUCCUUGGUUUCAGCUGAUAGUUACAAAUCAUAUAUUCAUUCUUUUCCACACAAGUAAUUUGAUAUACCUAGUCAGCUUAUGUAUUGAAGAUUGAAGGAGGAGGAAGAAGGAGGAGGAGGAAGAGGAGGGAGAAGAUAGCACUGUACAUUUCUUCCUAACCCGCACUAUCCUUAGUUUCAGCUGAUAGUUAUACAAAUCAUAAACUCCUUCAGUACAGAUAAUUUCCCAUAACUAUUAGCCUACAUUUUGCUUCUUCAAAGAUAAAUAGUUAACAUUACCACUCAUGCAUAGCUAUCACUAACAAGCUUGUAAUGCUGCACGAUGGACUCACUCAAACGCAUACAAAAAGAACGUAUGUAUAUAAAAAUUUUGUGCCAUUCCUAUAACAGGUGCCGCCACUAACACCCGCCCAUGUGCAGAUUAAGUUCUUGAGGGUCACAGCAGGGCAUGGCAACACUGGACUAUAUACAGACGGCAUUGCUCUGUUAAUGCAAACUAAAGAGUGAAAAUAAAAGACAAAGUACCAGCCCUUGAAAUACAGAAGACAGUGUUCCUCUCUCAUAAACAUAGUGAAAAUAAAGACUAAACACCAGCCCUGGAAACAUAGAGGGCGUUGCUCUGUUAACCCUCUCACGCACGAUGAUGCAUUUCGCGUCAUCAAAGGGUAAAAGGUCCUGGCGCACGAUGACGCGAAACGCGUCAUAAAAGUUUUAAAAAUUUAUUAAAAAUUAAGUUUUCGGUGAAAUUGCGUCAAAUUUGGGAGCGUCAUUUGUUGGGAUAAGUUUGUUAAUGGUAACAUAGGGCAACCUUUCUAAGGAGCAUAGAUGAGGAGCUUUGAGCUCACUAAAUUCCGCUUCGAAACAUAUAUUCAGCUAAAAAAGUUGGCCCACAAAAUUUCGAGCUAGCGAGUGGGGAAGAGUUGGUACUUCGGAUUUACUGUCUACAAUACUCUAUACUGAGACUUGAAACAAGUUUGUAUUGCUUAUAUAUAUAUACUUUCCUCUAUUUUCAUUUGUGCAUGUUCUAGUACAAGUCUUUAUGAAGCCACUGAUACCAAAUUUAUUGGGGUACGAUAUAUCUGUAAGGGUAAAAUACGUCCGGGAAUGUAGAGUAUUGCAGCGGCAAAAAAAGUCCGGUCGGGCCUGAGAAAUGCAUGGUGAGUGGAACAGAAACUUAUGGUGUGCGAGAGGGUUAACAUGAACUAUAGAGUGAAAAUAAAAGACAAAGUACCAGCCCUUGAAAUACAGAAGGCAGUGUUCCUCUAUCAUAGAUUACUGAGUGAAAAUAAAUGACUAAGUAUACUAGCCUUUGGACUACUGAAUGCUCCUUUAUAAUAAGCUAUAGCGUAAAAAUAAAAGACAAAGUACCAGCCCUUGAAAUAAAGAAGGUAAUGUUCCGCUAUCAGAAAUUAUCAAGUGAAAAUAAAUUACUAAGUAUACUACUCUUUGGACUACUGAAUGCUCCUUUACCAUAAGCUAGAGUAGAAAUAAAUGACUAAGUAUCGGACCUUGAACUACUGAAUCCAAUGCUCCUAGAUCAUAAACUAUAGAGUAAAGUGAAAGACUAAGUAUCAACCCUUCAACUAUAGAAUCUAAUGCUCCUUUAUCAUUAACUAUACAGUAAAAUGAAAGACUAACUACUUAAUUGCCAUUGGACUAUGGAAUUCAAGGCUCUUUGUUCAUUAUAAAGUAAAGUAAACCUGUAACUCUGUGAUUCCGUGUAAGUAAAAAGUAACUAAUGUCUUUCAACACUUCAGUAUUUCCUCCUGUAAUACAAUAGCUUGACUCUGACCCAUUAAAGGACAUUCAUCAAAUUCAUUCCUAGGUCAAAAUUUCGACCUAUCAAGAGCUUAACACAUGAGUCUACAAGAGGGCACAGAGUACAGCCCAGUAACAUGAUCACAUAAGAUUAAGAGUUGAUAAAAAAAGAUUGCAAAAAGACUAAUGUAUUCCUUGGUAAUUGUAUAACAACUUCAAUGUUACAUGCAUGUAAUUUAAUUAAUAUCCAAGCCUCUAGUCUAGUGCAUCUAACCUGCCUAAGGGCGAGCCUCCCAUAACUCUGUGAGGGGGUUGUCUCUUUGGCCGACUGGUUAAGGAGUGGCUCUCCCGUCUUGCUGGUCGCGGGUUUGAUCCCCGGCUCCAGCAAAACCUUUCCUUGUCUGGAUUAGUUUACUGUAUGUUUUCUUACACGCUGUGGUUGUGUGGGAGCAGAGUGGAGUGAAAUUCAGGGCGUUAAACUAGUAUUAUUCUUGAUUAUGUUACAACUCUUCACAAAAUAUAUAGAAUGCCAAAAUCCACUGUAAUUCUUCUCAUUAAUAUAUACAUCCUUCUAACAAGUAAACUCUUAAGAAUCUUGCCUUCCCAAUAAUAAUAAUAAUGAUAAUAAUAAUAACAACAAUGUACUGUUUCCUCAUUUCCACACAAAGCUCACACUAUUGAAUACCUGGCCACCUCAAGCAGUGAAUCUACUUUGCACAUAUGCAUAUAUUAUUUACUAUUCUCUAUUCAGCACUCUAGCAUGCGUUUUCCCAUUUGAUUUUGUCUCUAUAGAACCCAGGAACCUUGUAAUCAGCAUUGCUUUUCUCUACGCAAGCAGAUGUAAGAAGACAGGCCAAGGAUAAGAAGAACACUUGCACUCAUAACAUUAAGAACUGCCUUAUGAUAUGGGCCUCAAUACACAGACAUAUACAGUCGUCCCUCAAAUAGUACGGUUUCCAAUAGUUAGGUUUUGGUUUUAUGUGGAGUUUCUAAGAAGAUUUUUUAGGAUUUUUAAAUUUCCCGACGAGCAGGAAAUUCAAAAAUCCUAAAAGAUCUUCUAUGACAAGCUGUAUAAAACCGAAACCGAACUAUUGGAAACUGUACUAUUUGAGGGACGACUGUAUAUCAUUCAAGGACAGCAUCAUGCACACAUUCACACCAUUACUGAUACCAUAACACCUCACAGCCUUUUUUAAGCUAAGUUUCUAAGGGGCCGGACCGUGCCUCUCGAAUUAAGAAAGGAUGCAGUCUUGUCCUGUUAUAUACUCACUCUAUGCAGCCUAUUGGUUACAUGCAUUACUUAGAGAGCUUAUGUAUUCACCUAAUUCUUAUGCUUUUAUGGAGCAAGGUGUACAUCGUAUUAUCUGGUUAACUCAUUUACCUUCCUCAACAUCAUUACCACGGCUGAUUCUUCUUGUAACUUCUAUGCUCCUUAGUCUCUCAAUAUAACCACACUAUCAUCUUUUACUGAGAGAUCUGGAGUAUAAGAAUUGUGGAAUAAAUAGGAACUUGUGUAUGUUGAAUAGAAAAAUGCAAUAAUAAUGAAAAAAAUACAUACAGGGGAAGAGUUGUGGAAUAGAUUAAAGCUUGCAUAUAUUGAAUUAAGAAAGAGAAUAAUAAAAAAAUAUAUACAGUACAAUAGAAAUGCUGUGGAAUAGAUUAAAGACUUUCAUAUAUAAAAGCAAAUAAUAAUUGAAAAAAAUAUACAUGAAGAUUCCUAAUGCCCCUUCCUUCAAUAAACACCUGUAGUGCUUAACAGCUUAACUUCAGCAUUAUUCCUCACAAGCCAUCAUUGCUAUACAAGUUUUAUACAAGUUUCUGACCAUUGCCUAUCCACCUGUCACACCUCUUUUCCUCCACCUUUUGUAACCUAAAGCUGCAACAACUUGAUUUUCCUUCCUUCCUAAGCAAUGCUGCAUACACACUGGAGGGAGGGAAAGAGAGGGAAAGGAGGGAUGGAGGAGGCAUGGUCGCUUUCUAUACUACAGCUGCACUUUGGUAAUACUCCUGCUCUAAAUAACAGCGACAUAGUAACUUCUCUUAUCUUCCUUUCUUAAGCAAAACCUACUUGACUUUUCUUCCCUCCGAAAGCAAUGAUACACACACACUGGAGGAAGGGAAGAAGAUGAACAGUCACUCUCUACACUACAGCUGCACUCAUCCUGGUAAUACUUCUCCUGCUCUAAAUAAAAGCCAUAGCAACUUAUCUCAUCUUCCUUAAGCAAAACUGAUCUUCCCUCCACUGCAUAGACAUACCAUAGAGAGAGGGAGGGAGACACCAUCACUCCCUUCAGCUACACCUAUCAUGGUAAAACUCCUCCUCAUGCUGUGAAUAAAAGCCACAAAAACCUUACUUAUUUUUCCCCUUAAUCAACGAUGCAAAUACACACUGGAUAGGGACAUUCACUCCUCACACUAGUUUUUUUAAGUACAUAAGGAACGGAGAUAUUUAUAAGGGAGGGUAAGUCACUGGUAGGCUUCUUAUAUAUGUUAUUUCCAUUAUCUGACUACCGUACAUAUUCAAAUCAGCUAGUAUGGUAUUAUGGAGUUCUGUAUAGUCACACAUCAAGUAGGAAACCAUGACAGUCUAUGGGAUUUUUCUAAUAUACUAUAAUGUAUUUUCUGCUAUCUGACUCCCACAUAGACCAAGGGAAGUCAUCCAGUUUGGUAUUACGGAGUGUGAAUGUCUAAGGGAUUUUGCUGGUAUACUACGAUGGUAUUUCUGCUAUCUGACCCCCAUAUAGACCAAGGGAAGUCAUCCAGUUUGGUAUUACGGAGCAUGAAUGUUUAAGGAACCUCUACGGACACUGACCUAACUACCUAACUGUUGUAUUCUAUUAAGGACGGCACGAGUGAAGGCUUCUGGCAGUACCAUGCAUAAUAAAAUCUGGCGUGUGAUGAGUUAGUUCUCUCUGGCCUGCAAGCAAUGUGUUACUUUUUUCCAUUUGGAACUACAGUUGUCCCUCAAAUAGUACGGUUUCCAAUAGUUCGGUUUCAGUUUUAUAGGGAUUGUCAUAGAAGAUAUUUUAGGAUUUUUACAUUUCCUGCUUGUCGGGAAAUUAAAAAAUCCUAAAAAAUCUUCUUAGAAAAUCGACAUAAAACCAAAACUGAACUAUUGGAAACUGUACUAUUUGAGGGACACCUGUAUACUUUGGUGAUCUGGUAACUGUGUGAAGACUUGUUCUGAUCUCCUUUAAUAUGCAAGACGAAAUUUCUUACGAUCAUUCUCUAAACAUUAAGUUAGUACAGUGUUUCAAUACCAAGACCAAACAGCUGACUUGGUAACUGUGUGAAGCUUUUUUUUCUGAUUUCCCUUUACAUGCAAGACACAAAACUUCUUACGAUCAUUCUCUAAACAUUAAGUUAGUACAGUGCUUCAAUACCAAGACCAAACAGCUGACUUGGUAACUGUGUGAAGCUUUUUUUUCUGAUUUCCCUUUACAUGCAAGACACAAAAUUUCUUACGAUCAUUCUCCAAACAUUAAGUUAGUACGAUGCUUCAAUGCCAAGACCAAACAGCUUUUUUCUGAUUUCCCUUUACAUGCAAGACACAAAAUUUCUUACGAUCAUUCUGUAAGCAUCAAAUUACAAUGCUUCAAUAUCACCCAACUGAAGCGACUGAUCAGAAACACGUGGAAGAUUAGUCUCGUUCUGAACAGUGCAAAAUCAGACAGCGUGAAUCAUGGGUGUGAGUGCGAACCAUAAAAUAUCCAACCUAUAAAUGAUGUAGUGAGGUUGACAAGUCCCAGAGAUACAGUAGUGAGAAUCAAGUAGUGCAGCCCUUAAGUUACAUGUAUCUAGCCUGUGGCAUCACCAAAUAUUAAAAUGAUCUGGUAGGGUUGACACAAGAAACAGAGAUGUACAUUAGUGAGAAUUAAAGCAGUGUAGCCCAUAAUAUUCAAACCAAAAAUGAUCGGGUGAGGUUGACAACAGAGAUACAGAGGAAUAGAACAAACGGAGGAGAUACAGAGACACAGGGAAAGAGAGAUACAUUAGUGUUACAAAAGAUAGGAGAACAGAGGUUUGAUCAAGUUAUGCAGCAAGUAAGGUACAUGUAUCAAUAUAACACAAGCUUGCAGAUUUACUAAAGUCUUCUAGCAAGGUGAACAGGUCUUAAAAAGGUAGAAAGCAUGAACCACAAUGACAAAUAAUAAUAUAUACGCAAAGUGUAAGUCAAUCUCUUCAUGAUGUAGUGAGACCUAAGAUGAUAUGAUUUUUUCCUUGAUUCAUUGAUGGCAUUGCAGAGUUCAUCAUUUUAAGUAAUAUUUCAUUCGGUUAUAUUUCAGCCAUACAAAUGUCCGUUAGGCUCAGUCCCCUUCCUGGAGGCAUUACUGAUUGACGGGAGCCUUGAUAGAAAAAAUGACCUAAAUAAUCUAACCAUUUCAUAUACGAGAGAUAGAUUCCUUUCCUGGAGUGGUUGCUGAGUGGCUGAAGCUGUUUCCGUAGUCUUUUAUAGAAAUAAUGACCGAAACACUCAAGUAAUUUUAUAUGAUACUAAAGAUAAGUCAUGUAAAACGAUGAACAGAGUCUUGUUUACUCUGGGCCCGGGAUGAGGAAGGAACAGGCGCAGGGAACAACUCACUGGCUGGCUGGUGGCGACAACAACACCAGUCAUCAACAAAACUUAAAGCGACAAUAGUUAAACCAGUAUGAAAACCAGGUGCUUCCACAAUAGGAAAACCGUAUAACUAUCGGCAAACCUCCUCGUUAUGAAAAUACAAACAACAGAAAUGAAAACAGUGCGGAAACCAGAAUACUUUCACUAUAAACACAAUAAAAUCUUAUACAUCUCUUUGCAAACUUCCUCGUUAUGAAAAUAGAAAACAUUACAAGUGAAAACAGUGUGGAAAUUAGAUUAACUUCCACUAUGAAAAAAUGAAAAACUCUUAUACGUCUAUCACUAAACUUCCUCAUUAUGAAAAUACAAAACAACAGAAGUGAAAACAGUGUGGAAAUUAGAUUAACUUCCACUAUGAAAAAAUGAAAAACUCUUAUACGUCUAUCACUAAACUUCCUCAUUAUGAAAAUACAAAACAGUGGAAGUAAUGUGUGAAAAUAAGAUUAACUUCCACUACGAAAAAAUGAAAAACUCUUAUACGUCUAUUACCAAACUUCCUCAUUAUGAAAAUACAAAACUUUCUCAUUAUGAAAAUACAAAACAAGUCAAAACGUGUGAAAAUCAGGGUAACUUCCACUAUGACAAACUUAUAUAUACUAACCGUCAAACCUCUUCGUUAAGAAAAUACAAAAUGAUACAAACUCAAAACAGUGUGAUAAUCAAGGAACUUCCGCACACACAAGAACUGAUACUAAAUUAAUCCCCGUGCCUCCUCAUUACGAAGGAGUACAAAACAACUUACUAGUGCUAAAUGUUAUGAAUGACAGGUAAAGCGGAGACAAUACAGUCAUCCCUCAAAUAGUGCGGUUUCCAAUAGUUCGGUUUCGGUUUUAUACGGAUUGUCAUAGAUCUUUUAGGAUUUUUACAUUUCCUGUUUGUCGGGAUAUUUAAAAAUCCUUAAAAAUCUUAGAAAAUCCACAUAAAACCAAAACCGAACUAUUGGAAACUGUACUAUUUGAGGGACGUCUGUAAUAUGCAUCUGGAACCCGUGAAUCCGUAACUGGGCAGGGAAGGGACACUGACUGACCACAUGAAGGAAAGAACCGGUGUAGGAAAGGAAUUAAAGCUGAGUAAUUGAAGGGAAGAACUUAAAGCUGGUAAUAAGAGGAAGUGACGAUGGUUGACUGGCCGCUCCCUACACACACAUCACUCUCCGGGAAAGCUUAGAAAUUAGUGAAAAAAUAAAGAAAAAAAUAAUAAGCCUCAUCCCAGGGUACAAAAUCAACACUGAAACACAUAUACAAGGUCCUGGAGUGCUUAGAAAUUGAUGAAAGAAAAAAAAAUAUAAAUGGGAAAGCUUAGAAAUUAGUGAAAAAAUAAAGAAAAAAAUAAUAAGCCUCAUCCCAGGGUACAAAAUCAACACUGAAACACAUAUACAAGGUCCUGGAGUGCUUAGAAAUUGAUGAAAGAAAACAAAAAUAAAUAAGGAAUGAAUAAAUGUAAUAAGUAUCUGGUAAUUUAAGUGUCAGUAUCAUUGCAGGAAAAUAAUAGAAAUAAAAAUAGAAAGGAAAAAAUACCAUACAAUAGGAGCAGCGAGUGGAGGGAUUUUUUUUUUAUCAUUGUUUCCUUUUUUUGUGCCCUUGAGCUGUCUCCUUUGUUGUAAAAAAAAAAAAAAAAAAAAAAAAAAAAAAAAAUAAAA